CCGAGCGUUGCUUCUGGUCAGAAUUCACCGUCGUCUGGGUUAUGUUUUGAGCUUCCACUCGUUCGGGCAUCGCUACUUAAAUAUGCUCACGCUCAUGUGAGCAUUUCCACAGAUUGAGUGAACCCGCCAAAACCGGUCGUUCCGGAUGACGUCUGCUCAAGUGAGAAGCGGGUGUGUUUGUGCGUCGCCCAGUUUGUCAUCGAUUUUGGGCGUCGGAGGAAGAUAAGCUCCACUUCUGAGGUUUUUCUUGCGCUGGCAGAUCAACCGCUUUGCCGCCUCGCCCCCGUGGACGCAGGGAAAUCAGACCCAGCUGGACCGCACCCCUGCCGCCGCCGCCGCCGCCGCCGCCCCGCUGUCGCCACCAAGACUGCGAUUCUGCAACACUCACCUCGGGAAAAUACAGCGAACGUGUGAUCAUUUGAAGCGACACCUCGUCGAGAACCCGUCACCAGCCACAUACGAGGAGGCUCGGCGAGGCUCCACCCAGCCACCGGUGUCCUCGACCGGGGCAGGACGUCUCCCUCUCUUUGGAGUUCACCUGUAAUCUGCUAAAGUAGAGGUGGUCAGCACCUGCUUUGCCAGUGGUCAGGCCAGGUGCAAACCCAGGUGCUCAAGGCUGCCACCGCUGACGACUGGCAGACGAUCUGAGGACAUUGAAACUCGAGACGCUCGGCGCCCCACUUUGGUACAAGUCGCUCGACUUUGCUCCAGAAACGGCGGCGGCCAGCGCCACGGGACAGAAGAGAGAGAGAAGAGCUUCCACUCCUCGGGCCGGACGAAUCCGCGAGGCCCCGGGUCGGUUCCGCUGUGUAAACACGCCUCUGGCCUCGGAAAGUCCGACCGCCCUUCGCACCGCACGUCCAGUUCAGCUGAUGUAAAACUCUCUGGUAUUGUAGAAUUUAGACAUUUCUUUUCUAGUUGACGUGAAGGGAGGAAAGGAUGAAAUGGAAACAGAGAUAUAGAAGAAGAAAGGGGGGACACGUGGGAACAGUAUUGGCGGUGGUGAAUUCGGAAAGUGAGUCAGGGGUCGAGGACAUUUGUCUUUCUUAUUUCUUCCUUUUAUUCUUUAUUUGGAACAAAUGAACAUAAAGCAGGAGGAAGCCAAAGCUGAUUUAUUCACACCCGUUAUUCAACUGCUCUUAAUUUCUGUCCAACAUUAGCAGCUAUAAAAACCUAUUUACACCAAAUUAUACCAAAUUAUUUACAUUCAUACCAUAA